GGCGUCUAAUACUGGAUAUGUGACGUGACCGCAUGGUCUGCGUUUGGAAAGAUUUUUCGGUUGGGGAUGGGCUCGCGGCCUAUCAGCUUGUUGGUGAGGUAAUGGCUCACCAAGGCGUCGACGGGUAGCCGGCCUGAGAGGGUGACCGGCCACACUGGGACUGAGACACGGCCCAGACUCCUACGGGAGGCAGCAGUGGGGAAUAUUGCACAAUGGGCGAAAGCCUGAUGCAGCAACGCCGCGUGAGGGAUGACGGCCUUCGGGUUGUAAACCUCUUUUAGCAGGGAAGAAGCGAAAGUGACGGUACCUGCAGAAAAAGCGCCGGCUAACUACGUGCCAGCAGCCGCGGUAAUACGUAGGGCGCAAGCGUUAUCCGGAAUUAUUGGGCGUAAAGAGCUCGUAGGCGGUUUGUCGCGUCUGCUGUGAAAUCCCCAGGCUCAACCUCCGGCCUGCAGUGGGUACGGGCAGACUAGAGUGCGGUAGGGGAGAUUGGAAUUCCUGGUGUAGCGGUGGAAUGCGCAGAUAUCAGGAGGAACACCCAUGGC
rnacentral:rRNA from 1 species